CCUACGGGAGGCAGCAGUAGGGAAUAUUGCUCAAUGGGGGAAACCCUGAACCAGCAACGCCGCGUGGAGGAUGAAGGUUUUCGGAUUGUAAACCCCCUUUGUUAGAGAAGAUAAUGACGGUAUCUAACGAAUAAGCACCGGCUAACUCCGUGCCAGCAGCCGCGGUAAGACGGCGGGUGCAAGCGUUACCCGGAAUCACUGGGCGUAAAGAGCGCGUAGGCGGGAUAGAAAGUCAGAUGUGAAAUCCUAUGGCGUAACCAUAGAACUGCAGUUGAAACUGUUAUUCUAGAGUAUGGGAGAGGUAGGUGGAAUUCUUGGUGUAGGGGUAAAAUGCGUAGAGAUCAAGAAGAAUACUGAUUGCGAAGGCGGCCUGCUGGAACGUAACUGACGCUGAGGCGCGAAGGCGUGGGGAGCGAACAGGAUUAGAUACCCUUGUAGUC
rnacentral:rRNA from 1 species